rnacentral:rRNA from 1 species
AAUCAAGAGGAGCUUGCUUUUCUUGAUUUAGUGGCGAACGGGUGAGUAACGCGUGAGUAACCUGCCCUGGAGUGGGGGACAACAGUUGGAAACGACUGCUAAUACCGCAUAAGCCCACGGUACCGCAUGGUACUGAGGGAAAAGGAUUUAUUCGCUUCAGGAUGGACUCGCGUCCAAUUAGCUAGUUGGUGAGGUAACGGCCCACCAAGGCAACGAUCAGUAGCCGACUUGAGAGAGUGAUCGGCCACAUUGGGACUGAGACACGGCCCAGACUCC